UCGGAGGCGGGAGACCUCUCGUAAACCAUAACAUCAAAGAGAAGCAGCGAAGACGAAGGAACGAGGUUACCGCUUGAAUACUCUUCUCCAUUUGAAUUCUCAAGUUCAUUCUCCAGUCUCGAGUUCUCUGCUUUCAUGGAGUUACAGCAGGAGCAAACACGGUCGGAAUCCAUAGAAGAUUCUUUGAAGCUCUUGAAGGACGAGCAGCGUCUCGCUGGCCUUUUCUUAGUCACUAAAAUUUGCGAGGUGGACGAUCGUGCCUCGCUUACUAGAGUUUACUAUGCUGUUGGAGCGAAGUUUCUUGAUCGGCUUCUCAGGACUGGUAUGUUCCUUAACACUUUGGUAUCCGCGGUAAACUUGCACAUAUAUGUUCUCAAAAUAGCGUUUAAAACUUCUAGGCAUUGGUAAGGAAUUAUUAGUUGACCUGGAGAGGAGAAUUGCGAUGUGUAUUUGUAGCUGUAUGUUAGGAUUUUGGCUUGGCUGCGUUUUUUCAUGUUCCUGAGUUUUCUGGAGAUCGUCUCGAAGAUUCCGCUGAUACUAGAGGCCUAAUCCAGCCAAUGCGUCGGCUAUCCGUAUACUUUCUCUUGGUUGCAUUUCUACAUCAGUCAGUUGAUUAUUGACGAUAAACAGAACAAUGAGUUAUCCUCCUUAUUCCUUUGACUAUUGAUGUUCUGUUGAGGAAAUGCAUUAGAUUGAUCAUAAGGCACGACAUCAGAUUUGCAAGAUAGUUAUUUACUUCAUUGUCCCGAAUUAAUCAUGAAUUCACUUCUGCUCUGGUGAUUGAGGUUCUUAACAUUAGGAAAUAAUUGAUUAAAUCGUGGAUAGGAUUUUCCAGAGAGUUAUAUGCAUUAUGCUUUCUUUUCUGGCCUCCUUAAUCGAUGUUGCUUUUAUUGUUCAUCUAGGUCAGGAUCUUCCGUUUUGGAGGAGUGUUUUGAAUUUUUAUAUCUUGUAUCAACUACUUCUGUUGUUGGAGUCUCGAUUCUAUAUAAAUCUGGAAGUUGAAAUUAAUGGUGCUAACAGUAAAGAUUACUUGCGUAGUUUCUUGACUAAUGCAUCAAUUGUAGGUUGAUUUAUCCAGUUGGACAUUCUUUUUGGUUUUAAUUUUCUUUCACUAAUUGCAGAAUUUUCUGCCAUGUUAGUUCUUGGUUUUUUCAUAAUUACAGAUUGUUAUUGUUUGGCUGAUGUGUUAUAUGUUUCAGACACCACGUUAAAAUGUCUUUUGUGUCUAGUGCCCUCCAAUGUUUGGUCCAAACAUAUGCGUGAUGGAAUUUCAGCUAUCCUUCACGCAUUUUCUUCAGGCUCUUAGUUUGGCUGUCUAUGGUAUCUAUUCUAGGAGAAGUUUGGCUGAUAGGCGAAAUUGAAUUACCUGAUGUUCGAGAUCCUAUUCCAUCCGACAGUCAAGAGCUGAGAUCGGUAUGGUGCUGAAUGAACUGGCCUAUAUGAAAUAUGAUGCUUGAAAGAAUUUCUCCUUGAAGGAGAGUGUUAUCUUAAAGAAGCGGAAUGUGGCUACUGCCUUCUUUUUGGUGGAAAAGAUAAUUAAGUCGAUAUCAAAUGUUCGUGAAGAUCAAGCUAUCUUGCGCAAACCCCCGAUGCAUGGACAGAAAAAGUGAAGCAACUCUUAGACUAUAUGCUCUCUGUAGAAAGUGAAGAUGAACAGAGCCCCUUCAACUCUGAUCGCUUCUUGCUUCCCAUGCUAUGUCAAAUAACAAUGAAUGUUGAAGGAUGUAAAACUUAUGUUUCUUCUAGAGAUCUUGCAGCUGUUGUGAAUUGGAAAUGCCUUAUAAAUUGAUCACAAGCAUAUGGUGGCUUGAUUGACGACAUUUGGAUCCAUCGUCUUGGCUUCUGAAGGAACUAGCUGAGCAUCUAUGUGGCGAAUCAUCUUUUGUUAGCCUUUUGGCAGCAGUUGCCAAAUUCGACUGUUAUGCCGACUCUUGUCAAGAAUCUUCACCGUCCCAACAGUUCAAUUUCAGCAUAUUCUCG